UAUGAAGGGGGCUAGCGUUGCUCGGAAUCACUGGGCGUAAAGGGUGCGUAGGCGGGUCUUUAAGUCAGGGGUGAAAUCCUGGAGCUCAACUCCAGAACUGCCUUUGAUACUGAAGAUCUUGAGUUCGGGAGAGGUGAGUGGAACUGCGAGUGUAGAGGUGAAAUUCGUAGAUAUCAGGAAGAACACCCGUGGCUAAGGCGGCUCUCUAGUACGGUACUGACGCUGAGACGCGAAAGCGUGGGGAGCGAACAGG
rnacentral:rRNA from 1 species